CUCCACAAAUAGUACAAUGUUUUAAUAAUGAGAUUAACAGUUUAGAGAUUGAGACAUGUCAUUCAGGAAUUUUUUUGAAUUAAAAAAUGGGAUCUAAGGAACUGGAUAAACUGGCAAUGAAGGAAUCUUCAGAAUGCGAAUUUGUCGUGACGGUUAGAAAGAUCUAUUUUGAAAUUCAUAGGGAUUCUUUUCAGCUUAAAAUUUUCAUUGUAAAAGCGGCGUGACGUCAGAAAUAUACAGUAAAUGUGUAUUAUGACGUCACACAUUAUUCUUAGGGACGACGUCAGCAGUUCAUCUUGCGGUUAUGGCAGCACAUCAACAAACAAUUAUCUCUCGGUGAAAAUCG